rnacentral:rRNA from 1 species
AGAGUUUGAUCCUGGCUCAGAGCGAACGCUGGCGGCAGGCCUAAUACAUGCAAGUCGAGCGGGUCCUUCGGGACUAGCGGCGGACGGGUGAGUAACGCGUGGGAACGUGCCCUUUGGUACGGAACAACUGAGGGAAACUUCAGCUAAUACCGUAUGUGCCCUUCGGGGGAAAGAUUUAUCGCCAUUGGAGCGGCCCGCGUUGGAUUAGGUAGUUGGUGAGGUAAAGGCUCACCAAGCCUACGAUCCAUAGCUGGUCUGAGAGGAUGACCAGCCACACUGGGACUGAGACACGGCCCAAACUCCUACGGGAGGCAGCAGUGGGGAAUCUUGCGCAAUGGGCGAAAGCCUGACGCAGCCAUGCCGCGUGAAUGAUGAAGGUCUUAGGAUUGUAAAAUUCUUUCACCGGGGACGAUAAUGACGGUACCCGGAGAAGAAGCCCCGGCUAACUUCGUGCCAGCAGCCGCGGUAAUACGAAGGGGGCUAGCGUUGCUCGGAAUUACUGGGCGUAAAGGGAGCGUAGGCGGAUAGUUUAGUCAGAGGUGAAAGCCCAGGGCUCAACCUUGGAAUUGCCUUUGAUACUGGCUAUCUUGAGUUUGGGAGAGGUGAGUGGAACUCCGAGUGUAGAGGUGAAAUUCGUAGAUAUUCGGAAGAACACCAGUGGCGAAGGCGACUCACUGGCCCAAUACUGACGCUGAGGCUCGAAAGCGUGGGGAGCAAACAGGAUUAGAUACCCUGGUAGUCCACGCCGUAAACGAUGGUUGCUAGUUGUCGGGAAGCUUGCUUCUCGGUGACGCAGCUAACGCAUUAAGCAAUCCGCCUGGGGAGUACGGUCGCAAGAUUAAAACUUAAAGGAAUUGACGG